CGGGAUGUGGCGCAGCUUGGUUAGCGCGCUAGACUGGGGGUCUAGAGGUCGCCGGUUCAAAUCCGGCCAUCCCGACCA
rnacentral:tRNA from 1 species